GCUCCCCCUUCUUUGCGCACUGGAGCAUUUGUGUUUUGAGUGCUACUCUCCCCCUCUGCAUUUUGCUAAAUGGUGGUGGGUGUGAGUCAUUGGGUUGUUGAUGUUGGACGGCAGUCUUUGUUUGUGGUGCUUGGUUCGGCAUUCUCAGUAGCGGUCUAGUAAGUUGCAUUUCAAUCUUCAUAGCCAAGUUAAUUGCCUCUGAUAGAGACCAUACGGUGUGCAAGGAUACUUUGUAUUGGAUGUCCACAUGCAACCCCCCAUGUAUCUCGCAAUUUGUUGCCCCUCAGUUUCUAAAAUUCUUCCGUAUAGUCAUUGACAGUCCUCGUUCCUUGCUUGCAGUUUUGAUAUUGUUGAUAGAGGGUUUGCUCGUAAUCUAGAGGAAGAAAUCUGGCCCUCAUCAGUCUCUUCAUCUUUGGCCAUACGUGCACUGGAAUUUGCAUGUAGUCAAAAAAAAUUCUCCACCUCAAGCGUCCAAUCAAGAAAGCUCCCAACAUGAAGGUGGCCAUUGAAGCAAGGCAAGUCAAUUUUAAUUCUAAAAUUGUGGUUGUUGUUUGGAGCCCUCUUGCCGUCUUGGUUUCCAUGGGCGAAGCCUUCCAGUUCUUUAUCACUAGAAGAAUUGUCAUGUGCUUGAUCCCUCUGCAGAUGCAUAAAACCACAACCUCCCCUUGGACGGUUUGCAACCUCAUUAUCUUCGUUCCUGUCACCACCAACAUGAACGCUUGUGAUGGCUGUUUGAAUCUCCUGUAACAUGCAUUCAAUCCCUUCAAAGCGCUGCUGGUUCCUUUGAUCUUGAGAAUUAACGGCUGCCUAAAUGGCCUAUAUGCCACGAUCUUCAUCUUGGGAAUUAACUCUCCCUAUCAAGCCAGGUAAAGCCUUGCUCUGAUGCCAAAUUGGCAUAGCGGAAGACGUGCUAGACAAAGAAAAUAGGGUAAGUCUACUCUCGGAAACAGAAAAUAAAAAAAUUAUGGAAGAGUUGUGUCUUCCGAAGUUGACGCAAAUUGCAGAAAGAAAAUAAAUCACCAACUCUUCUUAUUCCAAA